AUCAACUUUCGAUGGUAGGAUAGAGGCCUACCAUGGUGGUAACGGGUAACGGGGUGUUAGGGCACGACACCGGAGAGGGAGCCUGAGAAACGGCUACCACAUCCAAGGAUGGCAGCAGGCGCGCAAAUUACCCAAUCCCGACACGGGGAGGUAGUGACAAUAAAUAACAAUACGGGGUCCUUUCGGGUUUCGUAAUUGGAAUGAGUACAAUUUAAAUCUCUUAACGAGGAACAAUUGGAGGGCAAGUCUGGUGCCAGCAGCCGCGGUAAUUCCAGCUCCAAUAGCGUAUAUUAAAGUUGUUGCAGUUAAAAAGCUCGUAGUUGAAUUUCGGGACUAGUACGCUGGUCGUGCCUUCGGUAUGUACUGGUGUUACUGGUUCCUACCUUCCGACGAACCGUCAUGUCAUUAAUUUGGUGUGGCGGGGAAUCAGGACUGUUACUUUGAAAAAAUUAGAGUGUUUAAAGCAGGCUCGCGCUUGAAUACAUUAGCAUGGAAUAAUGAAAUAGGACGUUCGAUCCUAUUUUGUUGGUUUCUAGGAUUGACGUAAUGAUUAAUAGGGAUAGUUGGGGGCAUUAGUAUUCAAUUGUCAGAGGUGAAAUUCUUGGAUUUAUUGAAGACUAACUACUGCGAAAGCAUUUGCCAAGGAUGUUUUCAUUAAUCAAGAACGAAAGUUAGGGGAUCGAAGACGAUCAGAUACCGUCGUAGUCUUAACCAUAAACUAUGCCGACUAGGGAUCGGAUGAUGUUAUUUUUAAUGACUCAUUCGGCGCCUUACGGGAAACCAAAGUGUUUGGGUUC
rnacentral:rRNA from 1 species